rnacentral:rRNA from 1 species
CCCUUAGAUGUUCUGGGCCGCACGCGCGCUACACUGACACACUCAACAAGCUUAUAACCUUGUCCGAGAGGUCUGGGAAAUCUUUGAAUAUGUGUCGUGAUGGGGAUAGAUCGUUGCAAUUCUCGAUCUUCAACGAGGAAUUCCUAGUAAACGCAGUUCAUCAGACUGCAUUGAUUACGUCCCUGCCCUUUGUACACACCGCCCGUCGCUCCUACCGAUUGAACGUUCCGAUGAAUACCAUGGAUUGAGAGUCUGGAUGGGUUCGCCUAUUUCUGCUUCUCGAGAAGUGGAGUAAAUCUUAGCGUUUAGAGGAAGGAGAAGUCGUAACA